rnacentral:rRNA from 1 species
UACAGAGGGUGCAAGCGUUAAUCGGAAUUACUGGGCGUAAAGGGCGCGUAGGUGGAUAUAUAAGUUAGAUGUGAAAGACCUGGGCUUAACCUGGGAGUGCCAUUUAAUACUGUGUAUCUGGAGUAUGGUAGAGGGUAGUGGAAUUUCCGGUGUAGCGGUGAAAUGCGUAGAUAUCGGAAGGAACAUCAAUGGCGAAGGCAGCUACCUGGACUGAUACUGACACUGAGGCGCGAAAGCGUGGGUAGCAAACAGG